AACGAACGCUGGCGGCAGGCUUAACACAUGCAAGUCGAGCGCCCCGCAAGGGGAGCGGCAGACGGGUGAGUAACGCGUGGGAAUCUACCCAUCUCUACGGAAUAACGCAUGGAAACGUGUGCUAAUACCGUAUACGUCCUUCGGGAGAAAGAUUUAUCGGAGAUGGAUGAGCCCGCGUUGGAUUAGCUAGUUGGUGGGGUAAAGGCCUACCAAGGCGACGAUCCAUAGCUGGUCUGAGAGGAUGAUCAGCCACACUGGGACUGAGACACGGCCCAGACUCCUACGGGAGGCAGCAGUGGGGAAUAUUGGACAAUGGGCGCAAGCCUGAUCCAGCCAUGCCGCGUGAGUGAUGAAGGCCCUAGGGUUGUAAAGCUCUUUCACCGGUGAAGAUAAUGACGGUAACCGGAGAAGAAGCCCCGGCUAACUUCGUGCCAGCCGCCGCGGUAA
rnacentral:rRNA from 2 species